ACUACAUGUUGACUAAGAUGGUUCAUUUGCAUGCCUAAUAGUAAAUGUUUUAUUUUGGUCUUAAAGAUUGCUUCCUUCCUCAUCUUCCUCUUCAAUUUCUUAAACUUGUUGCUCUAGCUUGAGCAAAACUGUUUUAGAGCUUCCUUACUUAAAUAAGGAUUGUAUUAUUUAAGAAGCACUGGAGCCUUUGAGGAAGGACUGACCCGUGCUCUGUAAUAAUUCCUCUCAAGAAUGGCAGCAGAGAUUCCCACUCAAUUUAUCUUAUCUCAGAUAAGCACUUAUAUUUUAAGGAGGACUAAAACAUGAAGCAGUUUACGGAACUGUAAGAUCUGUGAAGGCCUUUCUGGGGGAGGCAAGGCUUAUAAAAAUGUUUCUUUCCAAAUUCAUUUCCUUUGUAUUUAUGAAAGCUGUUCUUCAAGUGCACAUCUUCAAUGUAGCAUCAGAUAUGACUAUCUGAAGCAUAUGAAGGAGUAUGAAUGGAAAGAUAAAAUAUGUAGUGCAAAACUGUUAAAUGCAUCUAUUAUUUCUGAGGGAUUAGUUUUGUAUAUCACUUGAGUUCCUUUGAAGUAUGUGUUGCUCUUUUCUCUUUGCAUGUGCAUUUACUUGUAUUUUUUCUUAACCAUUAACUAGUUCAUCUCAUUGAUUUAACUAUUUAACAAUUGCACGUAUGUCAACAAUUACUUGGACUCUUUCGGAGAAUGUAUGUAGAAGAUUUUUUUUUCUUGGAAGCUGCACUUUUUUUUUUAGGAAUCUUGUGACCUCUGAACAUCACUUGUGUGAUGGCUUAGUGAUCAUUCUGAAAUGUUAACAUUAUAACCAUUAUCUAAAUUUAGUAACUUUUACUAGUACAGACACUUCUGAAUAUGAGAUAUAAAAGCAAUAAUUGUCUAGUUAAAAGAUAGUCAUGAGGUAAAAAAUCUUUCUCUGUUAAAAUGGUGUAUAGUAACUUAUUUAAUAUGGCAUACCAGAUCUUCCACAGCAGUUUAAAAAAAUGUUUAGAUGGAGUUUGGAAUUUUAAGAUGAUCGUUAAUGGAUUUUGUUUCAUCUUGAGAAGGAAACAAGUAGUUCAUUAAUAUUUUGCUAUACUUUAGCUGUUCUCUGAAAUAAAUUCCUAGCUGGAACAUGCUACUGUCAUGGAAACGUGGGGAUUACUUCCCUGUUACUACUCAGCAGGGGAACUGCAGAAUUUACUGGAGCCUGUCAUUCUUUGCCUUUUGUGUGUGUUUUGAAACUGUAAGCUUUUAUAAGAGACAUUAAAAAAAAAAACAAACACGUAUGGGCACUGGUAAUAUCUGCUAGUUACUGCUGUAGGCUUGUGCAUAUUGGGAACUGGUGGUGAUUACCAUUUAUAUACCCUGCAGCCUCUUAUUGCUAAUAUAAAUGGAACAUAACUAGUUACGUCUAGUCACUAGAAAUGAUAACAGAAAAAAUGUAGGACUGUUUGAGAACUUUGUUAUAUUUGUAGAAACCUUGCGCUCAAAUCUGUUUCAGGAUGCAUAGUCUGUAUUAUGUAGCAGAUUUUCCAGUUGCCAAGUGAAUUUCAAAGGAUCCAUCCAAAUGCUUAUCUAACUCUUCUCUGAAAUCAGUGCUUUCUACUUUACAGGAAAAUAGGUUACAAAUGGCAUUGGUAGAAUAAGAUCUUGAUUUAUAUUGAUAAAAUGUUUGAAGUUAGUGCUCUGUAGGGGAAAAGAAGUGCUGAUUGGAAUUUGCAGUACUUAGAACACAGCACAAAAUGUAGCAUUGCUAAUUUUAUUUUUAUUACUCUUUUCUGGGGGCAUGAUGGAAGCAUGGGCAGAAGAGUGGUAGUCAGAGCUUUCAGCUUCUUCACAGCAGGGACUGAAUUGAAAACAAAGAAAAUAAAUGUAGGGAGCUGAGGGUUGAGAAACUAAUGCAAGGCAUGCUCCAAAGCCUCAAGUAACUUUAAAAAUGUUUAAUCAUGCUAUAGUGUGAUUAAGUGUACUGCAUAGGUGAUCAGUAAGCUGAAUAAUACUAGCUGGUUAGGCAGACUGGUUUAAAUGAAACAAAGUCUAGCCUGGGUUCAGCCAGUUGAAGGAAUAAACUGAAAUUUGGUGAGGAGCCACUCAGAGAAAUGAAAUAAAAUAUUUUAGGAGUCUGUGAGAAUUGGUGGCCAACGAGACCCUGAAGAAGAUGGGGCAGAAUAUGUAGGUUGCCGUAAGAAGUAAUUGUGUUUACUGAGCUGCCAAUGUAAGAAGAAACUGCUUUGUUUUCAUGGUUAAAAUGAGGUUGCACUAAGGAAGAUAAAGCGUUUGCCCCUAGGUUGACAAGGUCUGAACAGACUUCAGAAAGCAGUGGGUAAGGCCAGUUCAUCAGGUUAAUAAAAGUACCCUACUAAAUGAUUAGGAGUCUGUUUUGAAGUAGGCAUGGAUGCAGCUUUGGGAAUUACAGGAUGUUGCACUUCAGGCAGAUAUGAAGUUUGUUGAAGAGGUUUAAAUGCAGAGUGCUCUGUAACUCAGGGCGCUGACGGACGGGAAUUGACAAGCCCAGUUGGGUAAAAUGAUCCCUUGUAACCUGUUUUGAGUUUUGUCAGCAAAGGAUUAGAUGAAGGAAAAUGAUUUGUUUGCUUAGACCUGAAGAAAAUUUUACAACCAGUUUCCUUUCCUAAGCACAAUUUCUAUUUCUGGAUGUGACUCCCACCAUCUCCUGCAUGCAUCGAAUCAUCCGUAGCUGGGGACAGAACACACCUUGUAGGCUUGUGCAGGUGUUUACCAGUGCUAGAAAGAGACUGGGUGGAUUUGUCUAAGAGGAGCCAAUUGGCUAUUCCUGUGUGCUGCAUUGGCGAAGAGCUGCCUUUCUCACCCACUUACUGCUUUGUUAAAUAACUGGUGGUAAAUUGCGGGAUUUGAAAUAAGGGUUCAGGCUGCUGGUGACUUGUGCAGUAGGAAUGCCCUUUAGGGGUAGGGUAAGUACAGUGCUUCGGAGGCUUUUUUUUUUUUUUUUUUUUUUUUUUAGGGUAGGGUUUUUUUCAUCCUGAUGCUACUGAAACUGCUUGAAAGAAACAAAACCAAAUAUUCAACGUAGCAAAUAAAAAAAAUGAUGUAUCUUAGGUUUAAACUGUUGGUUGUUAGCUGUUGGGCUGUCAUAACAGUGUUUGACAGUGGAAAUGGAAACUGACAUUUGUGGUAAUAUUUCAAUAAAACUACAGUCAAAUGCACAGGAAAAUUUUAAGCAAGUAACCCUCUACUUGCUGAACACUUGGUGAGUUUUCUGCUUGCACCUGUGCAAAAAUGCUAAAUUAGCAAAUCAGGCUCUUCAGGUGAGCAAUUUGUACUGUAGAAAACUUGGAAUCAUCUGUACUCCUUGUAGGAAUCAAAGGCUAGAACUUGAUUAAAGCUUUAAAAAAAAAUGUUCAUUAUUUUUCAGCUUCUUCAUGAGCUUUAGCUGUUGGAACACUCAGGGUUCUCAAGAUUAAAUUAUUAUUACAUUAUUGGUAGCAUAUUCUUUUAAAAUCCUGCAUGUUAAGACAUAGCUUAUGUUAAGAUCUACAAGACAAUUGCUGAAAAUGAAUUUGCUUCUAGUGGAUUGAAUUUAUUUUUAAUAGAACAAUCUAAAAUAUGUUAGUAUAAUGAAAACAACUAUGGUCUUCAAACUUGGAGCUCAUUUUCUUGUAAAGCAACAUGGAACAUUUCUUCUGAGAGAAUCCCCUUUGCCCUCUCAUCUCUGUUCUUUUAGAAAUGCUCAUGAAAAGUGCAGAAAACUAAAAACAAACCUCCAAGUAAUAUCAUACAGAGAAAUACAAAAAUGUUGUUAAAGAGGCUGUAACAUUUAUUUAUACUUGUUUUCAAAAAGUUAGGGGUCCAGAUAUUUUCAGAACAACCUUUUAGUCUGAAUAUUCUUAAUGCUUGAAGAAAAUUUGUGUAUGCAUGUUUUUUUAUUCCACCACUUUUACCCAUUCAGUUUAAGUAGUUAUUAAUAAAUUAAGGCUUUUUUUAAAAUCUUACUGUUGAAUUUUAUAAACCUCUUAAAAUAUAUCUUGACGCAUGUGAUGACCUCCAAUUUAUGACAUAGGGACCAAACAAAAAUGGCCACAAGCUGCAGUGAAUGCUGUUGACUCAAGUCCAGCAGAAAUGUCCAGUAAACAUGAUUGAACUAAAAAUCAGUAUAGACAGGGAUUCAAAUGUAUUGCUGAUACAGUGUCAAGAAAAGGAUGCUAAAUUGACGAGUCAUUGCAACAUUAUGUGGUAGAUACUUAAAAGAGCACACCUGAUUGAAUAGUACAGGCAAAUAUAUGCAUAAUUUUGUAUCAGGUUAAAAAAUGAAUAACUAAAGACUGUUUCUACAUAGAAUGUGAAUAUUACAGCAUUAUUCCUCCAUCAAUUUACAUACUAAAGGCUAUUUUCUCACCUAAACUUAUAGUAAUGUUUAAAAACAACUGUAACAGGAAAGCCAAAAGGUAUGUAUUUUGUUGGUGUUGUUGCAAUAUUUAAAAUUUAGGAAAUAGUUACAAACACUAAACAUUUUUUCCUUCUAAUGCUGCUGUUUUACAAAAGCAAAUCUUCCACUGAAGAAAUAAAAAUAUUUUUGCUUACAGUUUCAAACAACUUAUUUUUUAAUGCCUUUGGUAAGCAUUUGUUCUUGAUAUGUUGCUGUUUUUGCAAGCAUCUUUUAUAUUUGGCACAAACGAGACUAGUCCAACUGUUCUAAAUGUGUGUUUAUGGUAUAAUUAUGUAUUGUAUUGUUGGAGGAAAAAAAAAACAUGAGCCGGUAGCUUUCUAUAUUGGUAAUUGCAAUGUGAUAAUAAGCUUUUUUGAAGGUUUGUCAUCAUAACCUAGGGGUUAACCUAGGGGUUAAAAUUAUAUGCUCUCUCCAAAUUUUCUAAAGUUGAUGUCUUAAUGGGUUAUUUCUAGGCUACCAAAAAUAACAUGCAUAUAACCAGUUGCAUUGUUUUGCAAAUUCUGCUUUGUUCUAAUUUCAUUUUUUUCUUUGUAAAUGGACAGCCUUGUUCGUGCUGUUCUUUUCCCCCAUCUCACUUUAGCAAUGCAGUUAUGAAAACAGCAAAACCAAAGAUUUGUAUCUUAGUCCUAGCAUAAGUUCACAAAGGGGUACUUAAAUUCCCACUGAUGGUGUUAGAUCUGUGUUUUUUUUUUCCAGUUGCACUGUGUUAAUUGUAUAUAAUAAGAUAAUUAAAACAAUGGUAAGGAAAUGAGUGCAAAUGAACAUAGUUUUUUUUUUUUGGUCGUCAGGUACAGCACAGGGCUUGAGUAUUUUAAUUUAAUUGCCAGGAAAUUAUUGACCUGCUUUCUUUGCAAUAAGGUCAUAAAGUUGAUGAAAUCUGUUGAUUGCUGAUCCCGUCCUUUAGCAUUUUAGAAAUGUUUGGGCUUAAAUAAGGCUCUUAUCUCUAAUGCAUCAUUGGGCAGAAUAAUUCAAAAUAUUUCAAAACACUAUUAGAACUAUAGACUGCAAAUUGCUGCUUCAUCAGCCUGUCACCUGCUGGCAGUCUGCCUGGGAUGGACGAACAGCUAUUUGCGAAUUGAUCUAAACCAUGUGUGUUGGACAGUGUGAGCUGAGAUACGUGCUGUGUUAAGGACUCAGAAGCCUUCAACAAAGCUGGAUAGUCUUGCUCAAAACAACC